GGAAAGCGUAAUGCUGCCAUCAAAGGUUUUGAAGCAGAAGCUUGAGGGCAAAAUUUCUGCUGCUCAAGUCAAAAGAAAAUGGGAAAACCUAAAACAAAAAUAUAAAGAUCUUAAAUGUCCACAGAAUGGUGUGAGCACCGAGGAUGGGGAGGUUACAGCAGCGUCUUGGAAGUGGUAUUCUGUCUCGGAUGAGGCAAUAGGGGGCAGACCCUCCAUCACACACCACCCAACCUUAUUGCCUCGUCCGGAUCAGAUGUUGAUGUAACCUCACCAUCCUCAGUGAGGUCAACGGCUGAAAGAGCAGGGAGGAAGAGGAAAGAAACAGAGGAGCCGGAGAGGGAAGCAGAAAGAGAAAUGGAAGCAGUAGAAAGGGAGGAGAGGAGAUGGAGAGAGAUGAUGGAAAGGGAGGAAAGAAGAGAAAGAGAGAGACGAGAACGAGAGGCCAAGGAUAGAGAAGAAAGAAGAGACCGAGAAAUGAGAGAGAGAGAGAGGAAAGACGAGACAAAGGAGAGAGAGAGAUUUCUUCAGCUUUUACAGCUCAUGGCAAAAAAAUAAAGAAUAUUAAUAUUAAACUACA
ensembl:lncRNA